rnacentral:sRNA from 1 species
UAGCCCACAUUUUAGUUGACGAACAACUUCAGAAUGGUCAUUUAGAGCCUAAGAUCAGCCCUUGGAACACACCCAUCUUGGUAAUUAGGAACAAGUCUGGUAAUUGGAGAUUAUUACAAGACCUACGGUCUAUUAAUUGUGUUAUAGAGCCCAUUGGAACAUUAUAAUCUGGGCUUCCUCCUCCUACAGCUAUUCUUUAGAUUAUUAUUUGAUAAUAAUAGAUCUGAAAGAUUGCUUUUUCUGUAUACCUUUGCACCCAGAUGACUGUAAAGAGUUUGCCUUUAG